AGUUAUUCACACAAAGGGUCUACACAUCUGUAUGUUGGACACAACUGACAAAUAUGUUUCAAUUCCCAUAGCCAUAAACAAAGGCGUUUCCUAUGGCAAGCAAAUUCGUAUUACUGUAUUGACUAUUUUCGAUUAGUGCAUGUAUUAUUAUAUGGCAAAACAGCAUUUUUUGUAUAAAUUGUUAUUUAGAAUUACAAAAAGAGCCCUAAAAUAGCAUUUUUCUACUAUGCAAACUGCAAAGCAAAACUGUU